UUAAUAAAGGGAAACCUCAUUUAAAAUGGAGUCAGGAGGCCAGAAGGGGGAGCUCCCACACAGUAACACUCAAGGUCAAUUACACGAAAGAUAGUCAAUUACAGACCCCAACAGAAAGAACUGAUCAAUUACAGACCCCAACAGA